GCGCCCGUCGGCAAACAGAAGUCAUCCUCGGUCCUAACGAGGCAAGAGUCCCGGUGCAAAUCCGGGCGGGCGCACCA
rnacentral:tRNA from 1 species